rnacentral:rRNA from 1 species
GAUGAACGCUGGCGGCGUGCCUAAUACAUGCAAGUCGAGCGAACGGACGAGAAGCUUGCUUCUCUGAUGUUAGCGGCGGACGGGUGAGUAACACGUGGAUAACCUACCUAUAAGACUGGGAUAACUUCGGGAAACCGGAGCUAAUACCGGAUAAUAUUUUGAACCGCAUGGUUCAAAAGUGAAAGACGGUCUUGCUGUCACUUAUAGAUGGAUCCGCGCUGCAUUAGCUAGUUGGUAAGGUAACGGCUUACCAAGGCAACGAUGCAUAGCCGACCUGAGAGGGUGAUCGGCCACACUGGAACUGAGACACGGUCCAGACUCCUACGGGAGGCAGCAGUAGGGAAUCUUCCGCAAUGGGCGAAAGCCUGACGGAGCAACGCCGCGUGAGUGAUGAAGGUCUUCGGAUCGUAAAACUCUGUUAUUAGGGAAGAACAUAUGUGUAAGUAACUGUGCACAUCUUGACGGUACCUAAUCAGAAAGCCACGGCUAACUACGUGCCAGCAGCCGCGGUAAUACGUAGGUGGCAAGCGUUAUCCGGAAUUAUUGGACGUAAAGCGCGCGUAGGCGGUUUUUUAAGUCUGAUGUGAAAGCCCACGGCUCAACCGUGGAGGGUCAUUGGAAACUGGAAAACUUGAGUGCAGAAGAGGAAAGUGGAAUUCCAUGUGUAGCGGUGAAAUGCGCAGAGAUAUGGAGGAACACCAGUGGCGAAGGCGACUUUCUGGUCUGUAACUGACGCUGAUGUGCGAAAGCGUGGGGAUCAAACAGGAUUAGAUACCCUGGUAGUCCACGCCGUAAACGAUGAGUGCUAAGUGUUAGGGGGUUUCCGCCCCUUAGUGCUGCAGCUAACGCAUUAAGCACUCCGCCUGGGGAGUACGACCGCAAGGUUGAAACUCAAAGGAAUUGACGGGGACCCGCACAAGCGGUGGAGCAUGUGGUUUAAUUCGAAGCAACGCGAAGAACCUUACCAAAUCUUGACAUCCUUUGACAACUCUAGAGAUAGAGCUUUCCCCUUCGGGGGACAAAGUGACAGGUGGUGCAUGGUUGUCGUCAGCUCGUGUCGUGAGAUGUUGGGUUAAGUCCCGCAACGAGCGCAACCCUUAAGCUUAGUUGCCAUCAUUAAGUUGGGCACUCUAAGUUGACUGCCGGUGACAAACCGGAGGAAGGUGGGGAUGACGUCAAAUCAUCAUGCCCCUUAUGAUUUGGGCUACACACGUGCUACAAUGGACAAUACAAAGGGCAGCGAAACCGCGAGGUCAAGCAAAUCCCAUAAAGUUGUUCUCAGUUCGGAUUGUAGUCUGCAACUCGACUGCAUGAAGCUGGAAUCGCUAGUAAUCGUAGAUCAGCAUGCUACGGUGAAUACGUUCCCGGGUCU